UACGGAGGAUGCAAGCGUUAUCCGGAAUGAUUGGGCGUAAAGCGUCCGCAGGUGGCAAUGUAAGUCUGCUGUCAAAGCGUCUGGCUCAACCAGAUAAAGGCAGUGGAAACUACAUAGCUAGAGUAAGGUAGGGGUAGAGGGAAUUCCUGGUGUAGCGGUGAAAUGCGUAGAUAUCGGGAAGAACACCAGUGGCGAAAGCGCUCUGCUGGACCAUAACUGACACUGAGGGACGAAAGCUAGGGGAGCGAAAGGG
rnacentral:rRNA from 1 species